AGUGAACGCUGGCGGUAGGCCUAACACAUGCAAGUCGAACGGCAGCACAGUAAGAGCUUGCUCUUACGGGUGGCGAGUGGCGGACGGGUGAGGAAUACAUCGGAAUCUACUUUUUCGUGGGGGGUAACGGAGGGGAAACUACCGUUAUACCGCAUACCGCCUUCCGGUUGAAGCCAGGGAACCUCCGACCUUGCCCCGAUGAAUUGAGCGGAUGUCGGAUUAGCUAGUUGGCGGGGUAAAGGCCCACCAAGGCGACGAUCCGUAGCUGGUCUGAGAGGAUGAUCAGCCACACUGGAACUGAGACACGGUCCAGACUCCUACGGGAGGCAGCAGUGGGGAAUAUUGGACAAUGGGCGCAAGCCUGAUCCAGCCAUACCGCGUGGGUGAAGAAGGCCUUCGGGUUGUAAAGCCCUUUUGUUGGGAAAGAAAAGCAGCAGGUUAAUACCCCGCUGUUCUGACGGUACCCAAAGAAUAAGCACCGGCUAACUUCGUG
rnacentral:rRNA from 1 species